GGCUAGCGUCGAGUAUGAGUAGUGGAGGUAGAGCACUGAAUGGGCUAGGGGGCAUAGCGCUUACCGAACCUUAUCAAACUCCGAAUGCCACAUACUUUGAGCUCGGCAGUCAGACUACGAAUGAUAAGAUCCGUGGUCAAAAGGGAAACAGCCCAGAUCGUCAGCUAAGGUCCCAAAGUGUAAGUUAAGUGGGAAAGGAUGUGAGAUUUCUAAGACAACUAGGAUGUUGGCUUAGAAGCAGCCAUUCAUUAAAAGAGUGCGUAAUAGCUCACUAGUCGAGAGAUCUUGCGCCGAAAAUGUAACGGGGCUAAACUUACCACCGAAGCUACGGGCUUGAACUUAGUUCAAGCGGUAGGAGAGCGUCGUAACCGGGCUGAAGUCGUACCGUAAGGAGCGGUGGACUGGUUACGAGUGAGAAUGUUGGCAUCAGUAGCGAGAUGUGGGUGAGAAUCCCACAGGCCGAAAACCUAAGGUUUCCUCAGGAAGGUUCGUCCGCUGAGGGUUAGUCGGGACCUAAGCCGAGGCCGAAAGGCGUAGGUGAUGGACAACUGGUUGAUAUUCCAGUACCACUACCAUCGUUAUUAUCGAUGGCGUGACGCAGGAGGAUAGUGUGUGCUAGCUAUUGGAUGCUAGUCUAAGCGUUUAGGCAGUGAGAGUAGGCAAAUCCGCUCUCAUAAUGCUGAGGCGUGAUGGGGAAGGUUCUACGGAACCGAAGUACAUGAUUCCACGCUGCCAAGAAAAGCGUCUAGAGAGAGAAGUAGUGCCCGUACCGCAAACCGACACAGGUAGGUGAGGAGAGAAUCCUAAGGCCGGCGGAAGAAUUACAGUUAAGGAACUCGGCAAAUUGACCCCGUAAGUUCGCGAGAAGGGGUGCCUACGAGAGUAGGCCGCAGAGAAUAGGCCCAAGCAACUGUUUAGCAAAAACACAGGUCUCUGCUAAAGCGUAAGCUGAUGUAUAGGGGCUGACGCCUGCCCGGUGCUGGAAGGUUAAGGGGAACACUUAGCGCAAGCGAAGGUGUGAACUUAAGCCCCAGUAAACGGCGGCCGUAACUAUAACGGUCCUAAGGUAGCGAAAUUCCUUGUCAGGUAAGUUCUGACCCGCACGAAUGGCGUAAUGACUUGGGCACUGUCUCAACUGUAAAUCCGGCGAAGUUGUAGUGCGAGUGAAGAUGCUCGCUACCCGCGAUUGGACGGAAAGACCCCGUAGAGCUUUACUGUAGCUUAGCAUUGAGUUUUGGUAUUGUCUGUACAGGAUAGGUGGGAGACUAGGAAACCAGGGCGUCAGCCUUGGUGGAGUCAACCUUGGGAUACCACCCUGACAGUACUGAAAUUCUAACUGGCGGCCAUGAAUCUGGUCACAGGACAUUGUUAGGUGGGCAGUUUGACUGGGGCGGUCGCCUCCUAAAAAGUAACGGAGGCGCCCAAAGGUUCCCUCAGAACGGUCGGAAAUCGUUCGAAGAGUGCAAAGGCAGAAGGGAGCCUGACUGCGACACCCACAAGUGGAGCAGGGACGAAAGUCGGGCUUAGUGAUCCGGUGGUACCUCGUGGGAGGGCCAUCGCUCAACGGAUAAAAGCUACCUCGGGGAUAACAGGCUGAUCUCCCCCAAGAGUCCACAUCGACGGGGAGGUUUGGCACCUCGAUGUCGGCUCGUCGCAUCCUGGGGCUGUAGUCGGUC
rnacentral:rRNA from 1 species